rnacentral:rRNA from 1 species
CCUACGGGCGGCAGCAGUGGGGAAUUUUGGACAAUGGGCGAAAGCCUGACGGAGCAACGCCGCGUGGAGGAUGAAGGCCUUCGGGUUGUAAACUCCUUUCAGCAGAGACGAAGCCUCGAUUUAUCGGGGUGACGGUAUCUGCAGAAGAAGCCCCGGCCAACUACGUGCCAGCAGCCGCGGUAACACGUAGGGGGCAAGCGUUGUUCGGAAUUACUGGGCGUAAAGAGCACGUAGGCGGUAAGUCAAGUCGAGUGUAAAAGCCUUGGGCUCAACCCAAGGAUUGCAUUCGAAACUAACUUACUAGAGUCCAGUAGAGGGAAGUGGAAUUCCCGGUGUAGCGGUAAAAUGCGCAGAUAUCGGGAAGACCACCAGUGGCGAAGGCGGCUUCCGGGACUGCGACUGACGCUGAGGUGCGAAAGCUAGGGGAGCGAACAGGAUUAGAUACCCCGUUAGU